GGAUCCCUUCGGCAUUUUCCGGCCCUUUUCACGCUCUUUCGGUUCUUUCCGCCUGCACUCGGCCCUUUCCGCUCUCAUUCGACUCUUUCCGCUUCUCCUCGUUCCUUUCGCCUCCCUUCGGCCCUUUUCGAUCUCACUCGGCUCUUUCCGCCGCCCCUCGGCUCUCUCCGCCCCGUCCCUCAGCGCCGCCGCUGCCAUGGCCGGUGGUCGCCGCUCGCCGCCCGCUCCGUGCUGCCCGGGCCGGGCGGCGAUGCCCUCUCCGUGCUGCCAGAGCCGCGUGGCCGUGCCCAGCGUGCACCAGAGCCUGUCCGAGAUGGACUUCGAGCGGGGGAUCUGGGCGGCGGCGCGGGACGGGGACGAGGCGCGGGUGCUGCAGCUGCUGGAGCGGCGAGGGGACCCCGCGGAGCCCGACCUGGCGGGGUACACGGCACUGCACUACGCCAGCCGGAACGGGCACCUCGGCGUGUGCCGGCUGCUGCUGGAGCGCGGUGCCCCGUGCGAUGCCCGCACCCCCGGCGGGGCCACCCCGCUGCACCGCGCCUGCUACUGCGGGCACCGCGCCGUCACCGAGCUGCUGCUGGCACACGGAGCCGACCCCGCCGCCACCGACGGCGACGGCAGAACCGGCCUGCACAAGGCCGCCGAGCAGGGGCACCGCGAGCUCUGUGCCCUCCUCCUGCGCCGGCGCCCGGCCCUCGCUGCCCUCCGCGAUGCCAGGGGCCGCAGCCCGCGGGACGGGGCGCACCCGGCCGUAUGGGACCUGCUGGACACCUGAGGGGACACACAGGCGACAACCGGGCCCGGGCAUUGUCGCGGUCCCGGUGCCCGUCCCGGUACCGCCGCUGCCGCCUCCGUGUUCCGCCAGCAUGCCCCGCCCACGACCCGUCAUAUCAACCAAUCACCUCCCGCCAUUCCCUGAAGCCCCGCCUUCCCAUGUAGCCAAUCAGCACCUGCGGUGCCUUUAGGGGCGGGGCUUCGCGGUGUAAACAGCCCCCGCCGGGGGGGAUUUAAAGGCGCCGCGUCCUUUCUAACCGGGCCCCUCCCCCGGAAACCGGGACGCCCCCGCGCGGCACCGAGCACACCCAGGUCCCCUGGCAGGGUUGGGGUGUCCAUCCCAGGCUCCCCACGGCGCACACCCAGACCCGAAGCUCCCUGAGCCGUCGGCGCCGUGCCUGCGCCGCUCCGUCCGUCCCAAACCGAGCCGGCCUGGAACAGCAGCAGCAAAUCCCAGCUCCUCCAUCCCCACCGCGCCUCCUCCUCAUCCUCAUCCUCCUCCUCCUCCAGCGGCUCCUCCUACCGGGCAAGGUCCCUGCACGGGGCACGCCGGGCACGCCGAGGCGGCCGGCGCGGCCGGGGUCAGAUGGAGUUCUCCAGGCCGCUGUGGUUGCUGCGCCGGCUCAGGCAGUUCCUCUCGUUGAGCAGACUCGUGGUCUCGUCGGCCGGCGCCGGCGGCUCCGGCUUCUCCGCCGUGGCCGGGUCGGCCUUGGGGGCGGCGCUGUCGGGGGACUGGGGACAACUGUCCAUGCGCGAGGCCAGCAGCCCGUUCUGUACAGGAAGUGCCGCGGGGAUUUCUUGUUCUCCUCAUCAAACUUCAGCUCCUGGAUGACGUCGGAGUACUUGAGGAGCCGCAGCAGGAUCUUCUCCGAGAUGAAGUUGGAGGAUCUCCGACUUGAUGAUCUCCUCGAUGACGUCCUCGAGCGUCACCAGCCCCAGCACCUCGUAGAAGGGGUCACCCUCACCCUCAUUGUUCACCUUCUGCACGAUGGCCAGGUGGGACUUCCCUGUGGACACGGUGAGGGUUGGAAUGGGACGGCCCUGAGGCGUCCCCAGGGUGUCCCCAAGAUGUCCCAACCAUGGGAUGUCCCCAGGGUGCCCCAACCAUGGGAUGCCCAAAGGAUGUCUCAGCCAUGAGAGGACCCCAUGAUGUCCCCAAGGUGUGUCAGCCAUGGGAUGUCCCCACCCUGCAAUGUCCCCAGGAUGUCCCAGCCAUGGGAUGUCCCCAGGGUGUCCCAGCCAUGGGAUGUCCCCAGGGUGUCCCAACCAUGGGAUGUCCCCACCAAGGGACAUCCCCAGGAUGCCCCAACCAUGGGAUGCCCAAAGGAUGUCCCAACCAUGGGACGUCCCCAGGAUCCCCCAACCAUGGGAUGUCCCCAGGGUGCCCCAACCAUGGGAUGCCCAAAGGAUGUCUCAGCCAUGAGAGGACCCCAUGACGUCCCCAGGGUGUCUCAGCCAUGGGAUGUCCCCACCCUGGGAUGUCCCCAGGAUGUCCCAGCCAUGGGAUGGCCCUGGGAUGUCCCCAGGAUGUCCCAGCCAUGGGAUGUCCCUGGGAUGUCCCCACCCUUCGAUGUCCCCAGGAUGUCCCAGCCCAUCCCAUCCCGCCCUGGAGCAAUAAACUCAUUAAAACCUAAA